GGCCUGCGUCGCGCGCGCGCGCGCGCGUGCACUCUACCAAUACAAACUCGCUCGGACCCGCCGGUUGCUAACUCCUUCUCCGACCUCUGACCCUUGACCCCUCGCCCCCCUCCCCACACUCUCUGAGGAAAUUCUAACGGGUUUCCACCAGCCUGGGUGAGGCCGCGCUAAGGUUCUCUCAUUUCAAACCACGGAGAGAAUUAGGCACCAAAGGUUUCUUUCCACUUUUCCAAAGACAAGUUCACUUGCAAGACAGAGACGUGACCCAAGCCGAGUCCCCAAACGCCUCGUUGUUGGUGGAGAAGCUUGGCUCGGACGUUAAGAGGCCAUUUUAGGAUCCAUGGGUUUGGGGAAAAUGUUCCCAGGCCGAUGCCUGAGGUUGCCCCAGUUCAACUGCCAACUGUCUCCAGAAUGACUACUUCAGGCCAAGAACACUGAGGUGCCAUGCCACGUUCUACCUAGAUUAUCUCAUUUCAUUCCCAUAGCCACCAAAUGAGACAGAGGCCAGUGUAUUCUGUCAUCUCAUCGAGAAUGGACUUUAUUAAAUAUAAUU
ensembl:lncRNA